AUAAUUCAAAAACUAUAAAACAGAAAGCAAAAAGGUCAGUUGAAAAGUUGCUUAGAUUUCGCCAUGGGAUUUUUUCAGCUGCAGACUGAAGUCGGGGGGCUAUGGUAAGAUAUUGGAUUCUAGACGGUCCAAUUAAACUGCAAGCUCCGCCCAUGUCUAAUCUACCAAUCACAUUGCAGGUUGAGCUCCAUUUACACCACUGGUAUUUACAUAGUCAGGUGAGUUUCCCACGAGAGCUGCACUGCUGCCUCCCCCUGUGCACCUGCAGGUCCUGCUACUUGUGGGGCUCCCAGAGAGUAGAUAAUUAUUAUAUCUGGCUCCAUGCUCGGCUUCUACAUAUACGGAAUUGCCUCUUCAUAUUUUGGGUCUUCAAAUUUUGGGACUCCUUGGAAUAACAUGUUGGACAUACAAGAUCAUACACACAAGUUUUUUGUUUAAUCAGUGGCUCACUAAUAUGUGAUUACCUCCCAUGUCCUUGCUUUAUAGAUUACUAUAGGUUACUAUAGAUCCCUGUGUAUAUGCCAUGGGUUCAUUAGACAUUAGAGAAGUGCCCAGUGGGACACAUUAAGUAACUGACAUAGGGAGUCCCACUUCCGCACUUUUUCGGCAUAGAUUAGGCUUUAAUCUCUUUAUAUGAUCAUUUGUGAUGUUGUAGGACGAAGGGCAGGCAUUGCGCAUGCGCCGAAUCUGGAUAAAACGCUAGUGCGUUCCACUGGCUAAUAGAAACAAUGGUUCAUGCUUUGCGCAUGCUCCAAAUGUGAAUGGAACGCAAGUGCGUUCCACUGAGGAAUAUAGACGCAUACUUCCUGUCAUCAGCCUACGCUAAGCGGAAAUGACGUCACAUGCCGAAAAACAUGUGGUUUUGGGACAGCUAUGAGUUUCAAAAAGGUAUUUAAACUGUCAACUGCUUACAAUCGUUCUGCUUUUUAAUACUUUUUAGUAAUUGUAUAAUAUUUGGCCCCUGAUGAAAACCACUCAUGUGGUCGAAACGCGUAGGGCGACCUGCUAUUAUCCAUUUAAGGAAGAAGGCGCUUCCCCCAGGAGAGAAGGGAGCAGUUUUCAAUGGCCGCCCCCCUCCCAUGAGCAGAACUGAUCCCCCAUCCCCCGCUGCUCCCCCCCCAUCAACUUCAUUGUCUCUUCAGACUCCGCCUCCAGUAGGAAACGCAGUCGCU